AUGGCGUCCAGAGAGACCAGCAUCCAGAUGGCAGGGGUACUGGACGGCGAGGCGGGGUGUGGUCUGUCCACGGAGUCGCGUCCCGUUCGUGUCCCUUCGCAGGCCACCGGCGCUAGUGAGCAAGCUCAUGCCGCUUCUGUGAUGGAGGCCGCCGUUGUCGUCGGCGGCACCAGGACGCUGACCAUCAAGGACGCGGCCGUGGCUGCUCAGGCUGAGAGGCCGUGCUUGCCAGGCCCUCCGUCGGGGCUCUCCGUCUCACAGGCGCAGCCUGGCAUGCCGCCGUCCAUUCGCUCGUGCAACCCCGAAAUGGGCGAGGCUCGGGUGCUGCCCAGCGAUUCAAAGCUCGAAGGCGGCGGCGAGGCACCAGCGCUGUUGCAGAGCGACAGCACGCGGGAGCUGGACCGCCGGUUUGACAACUUCAAGACCUUCUCGGGCCGCCUCGAGCGGCAGCUCUCCAGCCUCCGAGGUCUCCAGCAUGGCCUGCCGCCAGUUGACAUCGAGCAUGGAGCCGCGCCCAAUAUCUCCAUCGAGGACACCGACGAGGAAAACAUAGUCCCCUCAGCCGAUCGCUACUUCGCCGCCCUCGAAGGCCCCGAGCUCGAGACCCUUCGGUCGACGGAGGUGGCAGUGCUGCCUGAGGAUGAGCAAUGGCCGUUCCUUCUCCGGUUCCCGAUUAGCGCGUUCGGGAUGUGCCUUGGCAUGAGCACCCAAGCGAUGCUGUGGAAGACGCUCGAGUCGGAGCCCUCAACGGCAUUCCUCCACGUGCACCCCGCCGUCAACCACGUCCUCUGGUGGGCCUCCGUCGCCCUCACCGCCAUCGUCUCCAUCACCUACCUCCUCAAGGGCGUGCCGCAUCCGGUGUGGGAGAUCCACCACUUCGUGUGGUACCUCCUCAUGGCUCCCAUUCUCUGCCUCGACAUUAAGAUCUACGGCCAGUGGAUGUCCAGCGGCGAGCGCCGACUCUCCAAGGUGGCUAACCCGUCCAACCACCUCGCUAUUGUCGGCAACUUUGCCGGCGCGCUUCUCGGCUCCAGGAUGGGCCUCCGAGAGCUGCCCAUUUUCUUCUUCGCCAUCGGGCUAGCGCACUAUGUUGUACUCUUCGUCACCCUCUACCAAAGGCUCCCCACCAACGUGCAACUACCCAAAGAGCUCCACCCGGUAUUUUUCUUCUUCAUCGCCGCACCUGGCGUCGCCUCGAUGGCCUGGGAAAGCAUCUCCUGUGAGUUCAACAAUGGCGCCAAGCUCCUUUAUUUCAUCUCGCUCUUCCUCUACAUGUCGUUGGUGGUGCGUGUCAACCUCUUUUGGGGGUUUAGGUUCUCAUUGUCGUGGUUGGCCUACACAUUCCCCAUCAAUUGUGUGGCCGUGGCAACAGUGUUGUAUGCGUCGAAGGUGGACAAUGUGCUAAUGCGGGCACUAGCGGUUGGGCUGUCAGGGAUUGCCUCUGUCACGAUCACCGGUGUGUUGGUCACUACCGUGUACCAUGCCUUCGUGCGCAAAGACCUCUUCCCUAACGAUGUGUCCAUUGCCAUCACACGACGCAGGCCCAAAUUUAGCAAGAUCCUCGCGCAUCUCCGCUCUUCUAGCUUGGACAUCAAGGAGAUCGACCUCUCCAUCCCCGGUUCAAAUUCCAUUUCCAAGAACGACAGCUACUCCAGUGACUUGUGUUCCAACUCCAGGACAAGCAGCAACACCAAUGAGUCUCCGGUGUCACACGGGCAUGCAAGAGCAGAGUGUUAG
rnacentral:rRNA from 1 species